GCNNUUAGNUNCCUGCUCAUGAUUUUUUUAUAGCCGCGGAAAUUUAACCGUGCUAAGGUAGCAUAAUCAUUAGCCUCUUAAUUAGAGGCUCGUAUGAAUGGUAAAACAUUUCAAUUACUAUAUUAUUUAUAUUAUUCCUAAUUUAAACUAAGAAUUAAAAUAUUCUUAUAAAAUAAAUAGACGACAAGACCCUUUUGAAUUUUACUUUAGUUUGGCUGGGGCAGCCAAUAAAUAAUUAUCUUCAUUAUUUUAAUUAAUUAAAUGACCCAAUAAAAUUGAUUUCAUGAACAAAUUACCAUAGGGAUAACAGCGUAAUAUUUUUCUAAAGUUCUUAUUUAAAAAAUUGAUUGCGACCUCGAUGUUGAAUUAAUGUAACUUUAUAGAUGCAGUAAUUUUAAAAGUGGGUCUGUUCGACCCUUAAAUCAUUACAUGAUCUGAGCAAAANCCCCGGGNGA
rnacentral:rRNA from 1 species